GGCACCAUGGCGGAGUGGUUAACGCGAGAGAUUAGAAUGGAUAGCGGUGUGAUAUCUUGUUUAUCUCUUCCUCUUUGAGGGCGCAGGUUCGAAUCCUGCUGGUGUCG